UACGGAGGAUGCAAGCGUUAUCCGGAAUGAUUGGGCGUAAAGCGUCCGCAGGUGGCAGUGCAAGUCUGCUGUCAAAGGUCAGGGCUCAACCCUGAACAGGCAGUGGAAACUACACAGCUAGAGUGCGGUGGGGGCAGAGGGAAUUCCCAGUGUAGCGGUGAAAUGCGUAGAGAUUGGGAAGAACACCGGUGGCGAAAGCGCUCUGCUAGGCCGUAACUGACACUCAUGGACGAAAGCUAGGGGAGCGAAUGGG
rnacentral:rRNA from 1 species